CUCAAACUCUUGUCCUCUCUCCCAGAGCCUGCCCAGGACUGCGUUUGCCAGGACCACCAGCCACUCCUGAUUCUGGCUCAGAUGAGGACCUGCUACCCUGCUAAGAUGGCUUUCCAGGAAAGGAUGUUGUAAUGUUCCUUCCAGAACUCUUCAAGGGUUAAAUCUGUAUCUGAGACCAUCUGAAGCACAAGCAGCCAGCAUUUGGUCAUAAGUCAAGACUUUGGUGGUAAGUUACAACUAAAAUUCCAGUCAUAACCCAAGUUCUUCGUAUGUCAGGCCAGUCAUAACUCAAAAGUCAAGUGUACUUUAACGUCAAUUCUGAGGGCCUCUAGGGCUCUGACCUUGGCUCUUCACUCCAAACCUAUAGGACAUUAUUUCUCACGUGGUUUACAUAUUCUGAGCCAAACUCUUUCUCUAGUCAGUCCUUGGCACCCUACAGAGAUGCCUCUCCUUUUCUGUCACUCACUAAGCACACAGCUUUUGUUUGGAGACCCACAGUAGUAAUGGAUUGGGUCCCAGGAGAACCAUAGUGUACAGUUGUUCAGUCUACACAUUGCACAAAGACAUUUGAGGAAGGAGGCUGUGCUGUGGAUACCUGGAGAAAGGCACACUGUUUUUUUAUAUGAGAAAUAUUCAUGUAAACACAUAUAAUUAAGUUAGAUAACCAGCUGAACUAGAAUAAUGUGUUUCAUUAUCAUGUCACUAUGUGAAAGUGAAAAUUCUUAGCAUCUGAAAAUAUUUGGUGGAAAACAGUUCCUUUUCAUUUGUAAUGAAUCAACUUUAGUUUUUAGAGCUGUUUAAGAUUUACAAAACAACUGAGCAGAAAUCAGAGUUCUAUAUAACCUUGCCUACCCCACUUCCACCCCACUCUCAGAGUUCGAUGCUAUUUACACAUUGCAUUAGUGUGAUGCUUUUGCUGCAACUGAUGAGUAAAUAUUGAUAGUUUACAAGAACUAAAGUCCAUAGUGCACUCCAGGGUUCUCUCUGGGUCAUACAUUCUAUGAAUUUUGACAAAUGUAUGAUGACAUGUAUGUACCAUACAGAAAGAGUUCUCUUGCCCUAAAAAAUACCCUGUGUUGCACCUAAUCAAAACUUCCUCUAUCCUUCCCCUUCCUCAGGCCCUGGCAACAACUAAUCUUAUUACUUUCUCCUUUGCUUUGAGAAAGGUAUACUUUUUGUCUGCAGAAGGGAAUAGCCACCAGCCAAAAUCACAGAGAUACUUCUGCCAGAAGGGCACCACUUUUAAAACUGAACAAAGAUCUUACAGCAGCUAGCUAAUGCCUUGAGUCCAAGAUCUAAUCCAAUCACGAUCAUAAGGUCUUCCCCUGAAACAUUUCAAUAUAUCCCAUCUCCCUGUUUCCCUUUAUCUAGUCCAUUUUUUUCUUGGUAAACAUUUCCACCCAAUUCUGUUUGGGCCACUAUAACAAAAAUUCUAUUGACCAGGUGGAUUAAACUAUGAACAUUUAUUUCUCACAGUUCUAGAGGUUGGAAAGUCCAAGGUCAAGGUACCAGGUCGACUCAGGAUCAGAUAAAGGCUACUUCCUGGUUCCUAGACUGUCUUAUCCCUGUGUCAGCUCAUGGGAAAAUGGAGAGAGCUCUAUGGGGCAUUGCUCAUGAGGGUACUAAUCCCAUUCAUGAAGGUACCCCUCCUGCCUCAAUCACAUCCAAAGGCCCUACCUCCUAACACUAUCACCUAGAAGGUUAGGAUCUCGGCAUAUGAUCUGAGAAGACCCAAACAUCUAAUCCACAGCAAUCACCUUAUGCCCCCCUCCCAUCUAUCAACCCAACCAUCUCCUCUUUCCGUGCUGCUGCUGCUAUCGCUGUCCAAAAGAACUUUCUGCAAUGUCACAAAUGUUCCAUAUCUGUGCAGUCCCCUGCAGCAGCCACUGGCUGAAAGUGGCUCAUAGUACAGAGGAACUGAAUUUUUAAAUCCUAUUUCACUUUAGUAAUUUAAAUUUAAAUGCCCCCAUGUGGCAAAAUGACUAUCAUAUUGGACAACACAAGUUUAAGGUUUUACCCCUGCUAUUUUUCCCAUAGCGGUAGAAUUCAUAAGCUCCUCCUACCUUCAAGCUUGACAUUCUCCCUUCUCUGUGAGUCUUCUCUGACUAUGCAGAAUGAGAUGAUUCCUCCUGACCCUUCUGGAACAACUGGCUCUCAAGUUACUCAUAUUUUAUUAUCAUCAAAUAUGCACAUGUGUAGUUCUUUCUUAUAUGUUAACAUGUCUUGUAAAAUUUCUUUAAUUUAUGAAACUAUUUUAGUGUUGCUUGUCUGUACCUUUUUAGCUUUCCUUCUAUUGAAAACUGCGCAAAACUCUUCAAACUCUGUGCCCUGAGGAAACAGAGCAAAGUUUUGUAACUAAUGCUUCAUCUGGUGAUAAUUGAAAGUGAUGGCUGGGGGGCUAAUUCAUGCCAUUUGAGAUGCCAGGGCACCAUAUCCAAGGUAUAAAAAAUGGGAGAAGAAACAAUAACAUCAAAAGAAAUUGAAAGUUUACAUCUAAGAUUCAGCAAGGAAUAGAG
rnacentral:lncRNA from 1 species